rnacentral:rRNA from 1 species
GACAGAGGAUGCAAGCGUUAUCCGGAAUCACUGGGCGUAAAGCGUCUGUAGGUGGUUUAAAAAGUCUGCUGUUAAAAAUUGAAGCUUAACUUCAAAGGUGCCGUAGAAACUUUUAAACUUGAGGAUGGUAGGGGUAGAGGGAAUUUCCAGUGGAGCGGUGAAAUGCGUAGAUCUUGGAAAGACCACCAAUGGCGAAGGCACUCUACUGGGCCACUACUGACACUGAGAGACGAAAGCUAGGGGAGCAAAUGGG